rnacentral:rRNA from 1 species
ACGAAGGGGACUAGCGUUGUUCGGAAUUACUGGGCGUAAAGCGCACGUAGGCGGAUUUGUUAGUCAGGGGUGAAAUCCCGGGGCUCAACCUCGGAACUGCCUUUGAUACUGCAAGUCUUGAGUCCGGAAGAGGUGAGUGGAAUUCCUAGUGUAGAGGUGAAAUUCGUAGAUAUUAGGAAGAACACCAGUAGCGAAGGCGGCUCACUGGUCCAGUACUGACGCUGAGCUGCCAAAGCGUGGGGAGCAAACAG